rnacentral:lncRNA from 1 species
GCAUGUCUUUAAUCCCAGCAUUUCGGAGACAGAGGCAGGUGGAUGUUUUAACAUAGCAACUACCAGGCCAGACAGAGCUACCCUUUGGGUAUCUCAUAGCGUUUUACUCAUUUCCUAGCAUGCACUAGGCUGGGUUCCCACUGCUGUUCCCGUCCAAGGGCCCAACAGGCCAGAUGGUAUUUAUAUCAAUUUUCUGUCCCCCUUUUAUAUUUUUCUAAAUUUGGAAUCCAAAUAAAAGCAUAAACAAUGUCUUUAUUCCAUAUAAUAUUUGUGCAUUAAGAACAAGAUUGCAUAGGUGAAUAUAAUACAGUCAUUCUGAAUACAGUCUGAGUACAUGCUCAAGCCUAAGAGACCGACCUAGCAGCUGAGCAACCGCAGGGCAACAACCAUGCAUCUUCAUCCCCACAACUUUAGUAUUUUUUGCCAAAGGGAGAUUUGAGUAAAGGAGAAUGCCGUGAGCGCAAGAUCCGUGCGUAAGGGCUGCUGUCUGUCGAGCUUUGGCAGUUCAGCUUUAACUUCCUGGAGCUGCUGAGAGGAGGCAGAGGCUGCCAACCUUUGUGACCGCCGGAGGGACAGUUCACACCCCCCUGACUGUUGUGCCACUGGCUGCUGUUUGGCUUCCUGCAAGAGAGUUUCUAGCUCUUCAAUUUUUUCAUCCCGCUCCUAAGAGGGAAGCAGAGAGCACAGUUCUGUCUAGGGUCAGACAAAUACCAAAGGACCAGACUAAAAGAACAUAAGCACCUACGCGCGACAUUAGCCCAUUAGCACACUUUCACGGUGGACUCAUCCCUAAACUCAAACUCAGUAGCUGCAAGGCACUAAGGGAAACUAAUAAAAACGAAUUCUAUAUU